AUUGAACGCUGGCGGCAGGCCAAACACAUGCAAGUCGAACGGUAACAGAAAGCAGCUUGCUGCUUCGCUGACGAGUGGCGGACGGGUGAGUAAUGUCUGGGAAACUGCCUGAUGGAGGGGGAUAACUACUGGAAACGGUAGCUAAUACCGCAUAAUGUCGCAAGACCAAAGAGGGGGACCUUCGGGCCUCUUGCCAUCGGAUGUGCCCAGAUGGGAUUAGCUAGUAGGUGGGGUAAUGGCUCACCUAGGCGACGAUCCCUAGCUGGUCUGAGAGGAUGACCAGCCACACUGGAACUGAGACACGGUCCAGACUCCUACGGGAGGCAGCAGUGGGGAAUAUUGCACAAUGGGCGCAAGCCUGAUGCAGCCAUGCCGCGUGUAUGAAGAAGGCCUUCGGGUUGUAAAGUACUUUCAGCGAGGAGGAAGGCAUUGUGGUUAAUAACCACAGUGAUUGACGUUACUCGCAGAAGAAGCACCGGCUAACUCCGUGCCAGCAGCCGCCGCAG
rnacentral:rRNA from 1 species